rnacentral:lncRNA from 1 species
CCCUGAAGAUACUCUCAAGGAAUUUCUAUCUAAAAAUCCUAACAAUUCCUUUUCAAUGAGUUUUGGGAAUUCUGCAGCUCUUGCUUAUGUUAGACCAGAUCGACCUUUUCCCAUUAACCAAAGGUAUGUUUAAACUGUGAUCUAAAAGAUAGUUUAAUUAUGAUGUGCUACUUUUGAUAUAUUAUAUACUUCUAUGAAUGUGUUAUGUGUAUUAAAUGAAAGUGUCACAUUAUUUUUUUUUUCAAAAUUUGGGAUCAAUGUUUUGUACUAGGUCAUGUUAAAAUUUAGUACAUUAAUUUAACAGAUCAGUCUAUUUAUUUAAUUUUGAUGCAUGAUG